rnacentral:rRNA from 1 species
UACAGAGGGGGCAAGCGUUAUUCGGAAUUAUUGGGCGUAAAGGGCGCGUAGGCGGCUUGGCAAGUGGAUGGUGAAAUCCCUCGGCUUAACCGAGGAACUGCCGUCCAAACUGCUUCGCUUGAGACCGGGAGAGGUGAGUGGAAUUCCCAGUGUAGCGGUGAAAUGCGUAGAUAUUGGGAGGAACACCAGUGGCGAAGGCGGCUCACUGGACCGGUACUGACGCUGAUGCGCGAAAGCGUGGGGAGCAAAUGGG